AGGGGAGUGAAAGAGAACCUGAAACCGUGUGCCUACAACUAGUCGGAGCACGUUUACUGUGUGACGGCGUGCCUUUUGUAGAAUGAACCGGCGAGUUACGGUUGCGUGCAAGGUUAAGUCAGAUAAGACGGAGCCGCAGCGAAAGCGAGUCUGAAUAGGGCGAAUGAGUACGUAGCCGUAGACCCGAAACCGUGUGAUCUACCCAUGUCCAGGGUGAAGGUGCGGUAACACGCACUGGAGGCCCGAACCCACGCACGUUGA
rnacentral:rRNA from 1 species